AUUGAACGCUGGCGGCAGGCUUAACACAUGCAAGUCGAGCGAGCGGCGGACGGGUGAGUAAUGUCUGGGAAACUGCCUGAUGGAGGGGGAUAACUACUGGAAACGGUAGCUAAUACCGCAUACCAUCAGAUGUGCCCAGAUGGGAUUGGCUAGUAGGUGGGGUAAUGGCUCACCUAGGCGACGAUCCCUAGCUGGUCUGAGAGGAUGACCAGCCACACUGGAACGGAGAAACGGUCCAGACCCCUCCGGGAGGAAGCAGUGGGAAAUGUUGCCCAAUGGGGGCAAGCCUGAUGCAGCCAUGCCGGGUGUGUGAAGAAGGCCUUCGGGUUGUAAAGACCUUUCAGCGGGGAGGCGUUACUCGAAGAAGAAGCACCGGCUAACUCCGUGCCAGCGGCCGCGGUAAUAC
rnacentral:rRNA from 1 species